rnacentral:lncRNA from 1 species
GUCUGAACCUCAGGAGUAGACAGAGCCAAGGCCCAUCUCAUUGUGCUAUAGGAGGAGAGGAGACCCCAUGUAUGCUUUUUGAUAUUCAUGCCCCCACUACAUUCUGGCCUCUUUUGCUAUUGUCUGGCCAAUGGAAUUUGAGCUGAAGGAAUGUAUGUUCCUUUAAAGUGGAUGCAGGUAGCAAGCCACCACUAUAUUUCAAUGAGGAUUCACACUGCAUGACUCCAUGGCUGAAUUCAUCCAAUUCUUGGUACCAAGGAGACAACAUAAUGCAUGUGACUGAUUCCCAGCUACCCACUUUACUGGCAUCGCCUACAUUCAACAUACAGAGAGCUGGGAUGACAAUGGAGCAACAAAAAACUGUUUAUGUGACAGAUAAGAUACUUGAGCCCAGACACUUAAUUCAGUAAGAGACUGGAAGUCAGAAUCAAAGGCCAACUGAGCGUCGUGUUUUCUGCUGGGUCCAGUUUGGAUUGCCUAACUAUUAUCACGACUGCUACUGAGCUACGAGACUUACAGCUUCCCUGCAAUAAAGGAAGUGAGUGAAAGAGACUGGUUGAUUGGACUGGGGGAGAGAAAAAUUGAAAUGGAAAAGAGAAGAGAAU